rnacentral:rRNA from 1 species
AGUCACUGACAUUAGAUACCCCCUGUAGUCCAGGGUGUAAACGCUGCAGACUUGGUGUUGGAAGUCCUUUGGGGGCAUUCAGUGCCGGAGAGAAGUUGUUAAGUCUGCUACUUGGGGAGUACGUCCGCAAGGAUGAAACUUAAAGGAAUUGGCGGGGGAGCACCGCGACGGGAGGAGCGUGCGGUUUAAUUGGAUUCAACACCGUAAAACUCACCAGGGAAGACUGUUACAUGAAAGCCGAGAUGGAGACUCUGCUAGAUUUUCAG